ACCAGAAAACAAACUGACAUUAAACACUGAAAAUCACUGAGCAGAUGGGCUGAGGCUUAUUCCAUCUCCAGCUGUACAGAAAGAGGUGCUGGAGCUCUCUACGGUUUUGGUGUACCCAUGAAGGACUAUUACUUCCCGCAGCUGUUCUAGAAGGGAUGCACUCGAUGGUGAUAUUUAAGUGGCCUGGGAUAACCUGGAGUUUUGUCUUCUCUGGCCUGUAUUAGAAAGCAAGAACAAACUCAUCAAUCUUGAAAAUUCAAGCAUGAACAAAUUAGCUCCAAAUAUUUGAUCUCUCCAGAUCUAGGACUCCAGCCAAUCCAAAUUCUGGCUCAGGAAAACAAUUUGCAGGGCCAAAUUCUGCCCUCAGUUACACUUGUGCAGCCUCCCUGACUUGAGGAAUUUGGCCGAAUUUACAAACAACAUAGACAACAACAACUUCAGGAGGACACGUGAGGAUUUCAAGACAACUGACCUGGCAGCCCAAGCAAAGGGCAUCCUGUACUGCCCAAGCCGACUACACACCUGCUUAGCCAACUUAUGAACCUUCUGGGCAGUCUGGAAAAACAAGAGAAAGGAUCAACAAGGUGACAGUGGGGUCACACCUUCAUAGGACAAGAAUUAAAAUGUGACAGCUGUGGGAAAGGAAAGCUCUCAGCCUUCCAGCAACAUACAGCCAGGUAGCAAGUUAGAGCAUCUAAGCUGACACCAAGGACCAAGCCGACAAUCAUUGUGACUUCACACCAUGUCUAUUUCAUUGCUGUAUGUGAUCAACAUGCCUUUUAGGGUCCAGCUGUGUUACCAACUAACCUAUGCUGUAUGCAAGGGGAGUACAGAGCCUUUACCCACCCUGGGCCUCACCCCACUCACCCUGAAGUCAACGGGAAUCUUUUCAUUGAAUUCAGUGGAGGGUUGAGGUCCCAGCUGGGGUACACACAAUUCAUGGCAGCUACCACUAGAGGGCCCCCAGAUCCUGCUCCCAUUUGCACACGCUGGCCAUCAGCCCUGUGCACCCAAGCAGAGGAGAAGGAGGUGGAGCUGUGUGCAGAGUGGGCGUGGCUACAGGGUGGGCCAUAUUCUGCCUGGUUCUGAGCCCCGCCAACUGUGGUGCAGGAGCCAUUUUCAUUAAAAAAAAAUAGCUCUUCCCACCUGCAGGAGCAAACGCAGAGGCAACCUGAGGCAGCUGGUUGUGAGCAGAGCUGAAUCUCUUGUGUGCAUAGCAGUUCCACACCCAGCUUAGGCCGAUGCGGCAUCAGGCCCCGCACUGUUCUAAUGUGCUGGGGAAAUAAUUAUCUCAUCUUAAAAAUCAAUCACGUUUCUGAACAGCCAAGCUCUGUUCUGAGAGACGAGCUGACAUCAGCCGUGAGGCCAGUACCCAGAGCAAGGCCAGAAAUGCCAAGAGCCGCGGCCAUCUUAACUGCAUAGGGAAAGCCCAAGGUUUGCCAGAAAGGACAAGAAAUAACAAACCACAUGUAUUUUCAUGCUUCUCAGAGUAUCACAAGCCAACGGAGACUAGCCAGCUCCAGGUUAUCACAGGAGUGGCCUGCAGUGCCCUUUCGGAGACCCUGCCAUACAUAACCUUAUCCAGUACCUUCCCCGGGUCGGAGUUCUUGAUGUACGGGUCCACACAGUGUGUGAUGCUGCCUUGCAACACUUUCUCCACACGGGCGACAAGAAAAAUCUCCACAUGGGGGUUUGCCACAGAGAAAACUCCCUGAAAGUGAACAAACAGCAGAGAGUCAGAGGCAGUUACUCCUCCCACGGCCACGCUCUCCUCCGGCUCCAAUCAGAAUGGAGCCUGGUAGCCUCCCCACUUUGGCGCUAUGCAGAUUCAUGGCACAUGCCACGUGCCAGGUUCCAGCAGGUUUUCAUGGCCUGAGGGAGGCCAAAGCCUGAGAGAGGCUACUGGGACGGUGCAGGCACUCAGUACUUCUCAGAAUUGGCGCUAGCUGUGGGACUUGGAGGGUUAAAUGGCUCAUCAGAUCUUUCUAUGAGCCCCAAACAUGGUAAAAGUCAGAACCAUUUGGGUUCCCAGCAGAAUGAGGAGCUGGGUGGAGGGGAUUUGAUAACGAAACCUCCCUCCCACUCAAAGAAAAGCUGCAGCGUAUGCUUGAACUAUGGGCUGGGAGUGUCAAAGGUGCCUUGGGGAGGGAGAUGACCAGCUUUCAGGCACUUUCACUGGCUCCUUCGCGAAUCCCAGGUGGAUACGUUUCAGGCAGAAUUGGUGAUUUUUUUUAAAUUUCAAAAUGUUGAUAAAAUCAGGAAAAAUGUCAA